rnacentral:rRNA from 1 species
GAGAGACGAAACAGUGAUGUGGAGUAAAACUUAUAAAAGCGACCUCAGUUCGGAUUGAAGGCUGAAAUUCGCCUUCAUGAAGUCGGAAUUGCUAGUAAUGGCAGGUCAGCAUACUGCCGUGAAUACGUUCCCGGGCCUUGUACACACCGCCCGUCACACCAUGAGGGUUGGAGAUACCCGAAGCCUAUGAGCUAACUUUUAGAGGCAGUAGUCGAAGGUAGAAUCAAUGAUUGGGGUGAAGUCGUAACAAGGUACC